GGACCCGCACAAGUAGUGGAGCAUGUGGUUUAAUUCGAAGAUACGCGCAGAACCUUACCAACACUUGACAUGUUCGUCGCGACUCUAAGAGAUUAGAGUUUUCGGUUCGGCCGGACGAAACACAGGUGCUGCAUGGCUGUCGUCAGCUCGUGUCGUGAGAUGUUGGGUUAAGUCCCGCAACGAGCGCAACCCUCACUUUUAGUUGCCAUCAUUAAGUUGGGCACUCUGAAAGAACUGCCAGUGAUAAGCUGGAGGAAGGUGGGGAUGACGUCAAGUCCUCAUGGCCCUUACGUGUUGGGCUACACACGUGCUACAAUGGUAUCUACAACAGGAAGCAAGACUGCGAAGUUAAGCAAAUCCCUAAAAGAUACCUCAGUUCGGAUUGCACUCUGCAACUCGAGUGCAUGAAGCUGGAAUUACUAGUAAUCGUGGAU
rnacentral:rRNA from 1 species